GUGCCAGCCGCCGCGGUAAUACGGAGGGUGCAAGCGUUAUCCGGAUUCAUUGGGUUUAAAGGGUGCGCAGGCGGAUACUUAAGUCAGUGGUGAAAUCCCGGGGCUCAACCCCGGAACUGCCAUUGAUACUGAAUAUCUGGAAUACGGUUGAAGUGGGCGGAAUGUAGCAUGUAGCGGUGAAAUGCAUAGAGAUGCUACAGAACACCGAUCGCGAAGGCAGCUCACUAAGCCGAUAUUGACGCUCAGGCACGAAAGCGUGGGGAGCGAACAGGAUUAGAUACCCUGGUAGUCCACGCCGUAAACGAUGAUAACUCGUUGUUGGCGACACACAGUCAGCGACUAAGCGAAAGCGAUAAGUUAUCCACCUGGGGAGUACGAUCGCAAGGUUGAAACUCAAAUGAAUUGACGG
rnacentral:rRNA from 1 species